GAGGGUAUAGCUCAGGGGCAGAGUGUGUGCUUAGCAUGCACAAGGUCCUGGGUUCAAUCCCCAGGACCUCCA
rnacentral:tRNA from 1 species